UGAGACAUUUUUUAUAUAUAGUAAAGCUCAGCGGAUGGGUACUGCUCAUUUUAUUCAUGGUUUUUGGACUUUGGUGGAAUUGUGCUGUAACUUGGCUAUUUUGCCCUUUCAUUUUUGUUUGCAGCCGUUGCUCCCGUUUGAAAGGUGCUUUUUGGUGUUUUUGGUUGAGCUUUGGCCACCUUGCAUUUUAUAGGAAAAUUUUAUGAUUGAUCUUCGACCUUUUCUUUUCCUGUUCUUUUUUCUCUCUUCGUUCCGUUUCUCUUUAGUUUUCCCGUCUGUCUUUUGAUUUCGGUUCCGAUCGGGUCUUCUCGAAGGUGUUUGGCCUUUUUUUCCCUUGUUUUGUACAAACGAAUCGCUCCCGUUCAGGAAACAUUUUUCUUCGAGUUUGAGGGUUUUAUUCUUCCUAGCUUUUUCUGGGUCAGGAUCCAGGUCUGAGCAUUCUGGUUAGCAGGCCCGCUUAGUUGAAUAAGCUAAGUUUCAUGGCUGACAUCGACGUACUGCUUCCACUGCCUUUGUUAUGUUUUCUGUUAAUUCGUAACUCAUCUGAGAGAUCAUUUUUUUUUUAAUUGAAUUCAAUUGGAUAAGUUUUUUAUUUGAAAACCUGGGUACCUAGAUGCUCUAGAGAGCAUUUUGAGUCAUCGAUACAAUACUGUUGUAAUUUAGUAGUUGUGCAGUUUGAGAACUGGUGUGUAGUUGUUUCUUCAGCAACCUGACUAACCUGAUCUACUCAAGAAACCAAGCUAAACUGCUUAUUUGGGCAUUAUUGACAACCUAAAUGGUUUGGUUUGGCUUGGCUAUAAUUCAUAUGAAUCUGAAGUCGUUAGUUCUGGUGUUAGGAACAUGGAGCAAUAUGCAUAUGUACUGGUGAAAAUACAAGGUUGUGAGUGUGGUACUGAUUCUUUCUUUGUAUUAAUUGAGCUUAUAAUAUAUUUUAAGGCCUCAAAUAUAGAUUUGUUUUUCGUAUCAAUUCUUAACUUAUCGGUGUUAAUAGAACUGAUUUGGUUUUGUAGAUCAGAAUUUUUAAACGACAAAAUUAACCUGCAAAUUCAGUUCAGGUAUCAAUGUUUGCACUUAUUUAGAUUGUUGAAUUUAUCUUUACCUUUACUAGAUUUUAUUUUUCUAUGUUGUUUGAUGCAUUAUCGUGUUACUUUAUUAUUAAUAAAACUAAUUUGGUUUUGUAGAUUAAGAUUUUUUAGUGAGAGAAUCAAGUUCAAAAUUCAAUUGAGGUUGCAUUUGCAAAGGGAGAACAACAUCUUAGAUGGUUCUUGUGCUUAUGAAACAUUUGAGGGUAAGAUUCACAUGGUUAUUUAAAUUUGUGGGUUUUGUUUCUUUGAUUUUAAAAUGGAAAAAACUUAAACAUUUUUUUUCCGUAGAUUUUAAUUAGAAUGUGUUGUAAAGCUUUUUAUGCAUUGCUGUGGUUUAUUGUAAUAAGUUGGCAACUAUGUAUAAGGAGCUAUUAAUUUUGGAUUUACAGAAAUUAGGUGUUCAAUUAGUUUGAGAUUAUUUGGUUUCCUUUCAAUUUUCUUUGUUUUCUACUUUCUCUUAUUGUCAUCUAUUUUUGUGACUUAUUCUUAUUCUGCGGUUGUAGGAUUAUGUUAGUUUUGCAGAACAUUAUUAUUUAGUCAGUGGUGGUUCUGUUUAUGCCUAGAAAAUGGUUAGCUAAGUGUAUUGACACAUGGUCUUUUUUAUCAAUGUGUUGUAAAUUUUUUUAUGUGUUGUGGUUUACUAUGGUAACUUUUUGCAAGUAUGUAUAGGGGGAAAUGCUUUUGCUUUCCCCUGUUUCCUUUUUUUUUUUUCGCAGAAAAAAAAAUUUCAUGCAAUAUUUUUCUGUUUUUGUUAAAAUAAUGUCCUGAUGCGAUUAAGUGCCUAAAGGUUACACAGUUGGCCUAAGUUUUAUACUCUAAUAUAUUAAGUAUACAUGAAAUAUCUAGUUUAUCUUAUUUAUUGGCUAUAUAUGUGCUGCUUAGCAAUUUGAUUAGCUGAAAAAUUUAGCCAGCAAGGCAAAUUUUUUUAUGCUAAAACUGUUGCAGAGAUGUUAGUUAACAAAAAGUGGGUCACUGUUUUUAUCUUCUCAAUUAAGUUUUAGAGAAACAUUUAUAAUUUUUUGAGGCAUUAUUUCAUCCUUUUUCCAUUUAAGUUUUAAUUGGCAUUUCAUCUUUAUUUGAAUUCUUUUUUUCGUUUCAAAUUAACAUUGCUUCCCACUUGACUACAUGCUUUCUGUACAGAUUUCAUUUUGUGGCAAAAAAAUUUCAUUAUAUAUACCUAUCAUUAGUCAAAUUCAAACUUAGCAAUAAGAUAACUUUUUCAUUAUAUACCUAUUAAUUCUCAAUUCCGUCAUCAGAAUUGCUCUUAAUCUCAGUUUCUCAAUUCUUUAGCGUCUAGAACACCCAUUCCAAAACACUAGCUUCAUUCUUACUAAUAGACUUUAUCUUUUAUGUUUAGCAUAAAUUAGAUAACAAUGCAUGAUAAUGAAUUACAAAUUGUUUUUUAUUUCUUAUAUUCAAAUUUAGUUUUUGCUCUUUCAUCCUACGUAUGACUCCUUGUUUCCAUCCAUCUCAACUAAUUACUAUAUAUUAUUUAUUAACUGCCAUAGAACCCUUUUUUAACACUGUAUUUUACAAUUUUAGGGGAAAAAAAACAGCUAAUUCAGCAUGGGAUAUACAACAUUGACAAAUACAGUUUCAAGCAAUGAAGACACAAAUAUUCAAAGGUAUGUAAAAUUAAUUAAUUGUUUUGUUGACGUUCUACAUUUAAUUACAAUUUUUACUAAGCUUUCUCUUUAGGCGAAUUAGCUAUUACUAAUAUAUAAAUAUAUAUAUGUAUAUAUACACUAGCUUCUUUUCACUAGAGAUAAAAGUAUAAAAGUUGACAUUUGCACUAGAGAUUUACCCUCUCCACAUAUUUUAAUUUAAUAUCUUCUUUCACAGAUUUACAAAAUAUGGGCAGGAUUUAUCUUUAGUGGAAGGAUGUCUGUUUAUACUUUUGAAUAUUGGCCUUAAAUCUUUCACUAGACAAACAAAUAAUAAGCCAUGUAUUCACAAUAAGUUAGAAGAAGAAAGUAUCUAUAUAAAUUGAUAAUAGUUAAUUCCUCUGAA